rnacentral:rRNA from 1 species
AGUGAUGUGACCGCGGAGCCCACGCACCGUCAGCUCACUCCCGAUCUGAAUCCGGAUCUACUCGUUUCACUUCAGUCUGCGGCGACGACUUUUCUCCUCCACCGCAGAUCUCGUCGGCGCUAGCACCAGCGGCAGCGCCAAAGAGCUCGAUCUGCUCUGCUGUCAACUUCUUCAGCGUCGCGAACUGGAGGCGGAGAGCUGCCGUUCGGUGUUCGUUCAGGCUGCUCUUCUUCAACCUUCUGCCUUCGGCGUCGUCUCUCCUCCUCACGGAUCCCGGUCGAGAUCUCGUCCACCGCCAGGUCGCACCCUGCUGCAGCCUUGUGGUCACGAGGCGAGGUCGCCGUCUUCGCGUCAACUGGAAUCACAUCUGGCAUCGACAAGCUUACUAUUUCCUCCGGCCCGAUCUCGCAUCGAGAAGCAAUUUCCUCCGGUUGGAUGUGGCAUCGACAAGCUUACUGUUUCCUCCGGUUUGAUCUGGCAUCGAUCUGGAAUCACAUCACAUGUUUGGUCUUCCCUGAUCCAGAUCUCUUCACUGCAUCGAUCUGGCCUCCCUCCGAGCACCUCCGGACUGCAAGGUAAGAUCUUCCCGAGCUUUCUCUUCAAUAGUUACUGGCUCAACACGAAAGUAUGCUUGCAUACUUGCUGCAUUUCUUUGCUUGGUUAUAGUGGUGUCUCAAACUUUCUGCUUGAGCAUAGUAUUUCUUUGCUUGCACCUUUGACUGCUUGUGAAGUUUUUUUUGGGUGAGAAACUGCUUGUGAAGUUGUGGAGCUUACUGUAUUUCCUUCUAUCAUGGAAAAUCGGACGCCCUUUAAUUGUUAGUAUAAUCUUUUAAACUGGAGUUAAUAUACGUAAAAUCAAUUCUUGGUCCUGAACUUAUUUCAGUAGCUUAUCUGGUACAUAUCUAAAGAAGGCUUGUGAAUGUGCUGAAUCCGCUGGAACUUACUAAAAGUAUCACUGAUUGGCACAUAGUACUCCUCUUUCAUUCUAUUUAAAAGAGAAUCAACUGGCUAUGAAAUUACUUUCUUCCUCUCUUUUUCUGUGGUACUUUUAAUACGUCAUUUCCUCUUUUUAAUAUAAAUUUCCUACCUUUUUACUCUUCCUAGAUAGCACAAUAUUUUUAAUUUUUUUGUUGUAAAUACCUUAUGAUUAUUGAUCACAUCUGGGGAGAAGAAAAUGUGAAGAUUUAUUAAGUGUUGUUUGUAAAAAAAAAAAUCUUUGUAGUUGAAUAAUUAUAACAUAACAUACAAGAUUACUAUCUUUGAAGCAUCUCACUUUUUCUGUGAUAACAUAAUUCAUAAGAAACCUCUUUCAAAUAAGACUCCCAAAUAAUUUUCUACAGAAAAAUAUAUCAUAGCGAGAACAUAUGUUUCGUGAAUUGGAGAAAAUAUCGAGAGCUAUUUUCAAGAACUGUGGUGGUGUACCAUAGCCAUUAUUGCUACAACUACUAUUUUGGUUAGUAAUAUACCGAAUGGAGCAAAAAAUUAUUGAUUCUGUUUUCUCAAUUUUAUGUGUCAUGAGGUAACAAAAGAUGCUAUAUUUGAAGGAAAUGAAAGGGAUAUUGUCGCUCAAUUGUUAUGAUCUGCUUCUCAUCUGAAGACUAGUUUAUUACAUAUAAGCAUAUUUUUGAAAGUUUGAGAGAGAGAUCACAAGCAGAUCCCGUGCAGAAGGGAACAUCAUUGCUACAACUACAAUAAUUCUUCCACUUCAAGAGCCAUUGGGCCGCUAAACAAGUCUUUAGAUGAGAAGGUAGAUCAUAAUAGCUGAGCGAAAUGAAAGUGAUAUUGUUGCUUAAUUGUUAUGAUCUGCUUCUCAUCUGAAGACUAGUUUAUACAUAUAAGCUAUUCUUGGAAGUUUGAGAGAGAGAUCACAAGCAGAUCCCGUGCAGAAGAGAACAUCAUUGAUACAACUAUAAUAAUUCUUCCACUUCAAGAGCCAUUGGGCCGCUGAGAAAUAUGUUUAGAUAUAAUAAACAAGUCUUCAGAUGAGAAGGCAGAUCAUAAUAGCUGAGCAGUAAUAUUAUUUUCAUUUUGUUUUCUUACAAACUAGCAUCUUUUGUAACCCCACAGCCCAUAGCAUUGAGCAAACACAACCAAUCAUUAUUUGCUCUAUUUGGUUAUUACUAACCAAAAUACUAGCCAUAGUAAUGAUGGCUAAUGAUACACCUCCACAUUUCUUCAAAAAAGUUCUCGCUACUUACUCCAUUUUUCAUGCGGACACCUAUUCAUCAUGGGAAGAGUGACAUUAUUCGUAGACACUGAUUUGCAUGUUGUUAUGAUUAUUUGACUGUAGAGAUUGGUCUUUGUCACACCAUACUCAUUAACCAACUUGGUGAGUUUCUAAUGGACAAAAGGCACGUGCACAUAGUACUCGUCUUUUAUUCUAUUUAAAAGAGAAUCAAAUGGCUCUGAAUUUUUUUCUUCAUCUCUUAGUCCGUGAUACUUCUAUUAUGCCAAUUUUUUUUAAUCCAAUUUAGCUGCCUUUUUACUCUUCCUAGCUAGCACAAUGUUGAUAAUUCAUUAUCUUCAUUGCGAUUUCUAAAUUCCUAUAGUUCAUUUUAGUUUUUGUGUCUAAAUAAAUUGAUGUGCCAAUUAAUAUUUAUAUUUUUUUUGUAAAUACCUUAUGAUUAUUGAUCACAUCUGGGUAGAGAAAAGGUGAAGAUUAAGUGUUGUUUGUAUACGUUUUAGUUGUAGUUGGAUAUCAUCAUAACAAGAUGCAAAAUUAGUAUCUUUGAAGCAUAUCACUUUUUCUGUGAUACAUAGUUCAUGAGAAACCUCUUUCAAAUAAGACUCAAAUGAUUUUCUAUAGAAAAUAUAUCACGACGAGAACAUAUGUUCAUGUGAAUUGGAGAAAAUAUCGAGAGCUAUUUCGAAGAAAUGUGGCAGCGUACCAUAACCAUUAUUACUAUAGCUACUAUUUUGGUUAGUAAUAUACCAAAUGGAUCAAAAAAAUUAUUAGUUUUGUUUGCUCAAUUUUAUGCCUCAUGAGGUUACAGAAGAUGCUAUUUUGAAGAAAAUAAAAGGGAUAUCGUUGCUCCAAUUGUUAUGAUUUGCUUCUCAUCUGAAGACUAGUUUAUUACAUAUAAGCAUAUUUCUGGAAGUUUGAGAGAGAUCAUAAACAAGUGAUCGCCACAUGUCGAUAGGGCAGCCGCAGCGGACGACUAAACAUGUCUCACCCCACCGCACCAUACAACUAUAAUAAUUCUUCCACUUCAUGAGCCAUUGGACUAUUGGGAAAUAUGUUUAGAUAAUAAACAAGCCUUUAGAUGAGAAGGCAGAUCAUAAUAGCUGAGCAAUAAUAUCUUUUUUUUUCUUUCAAACUAGCACCUAUUGUAACCCCACAACCCAUAGCAUUGAGCAAGCACAACCAAUCAUUGUUUGCUCUAUUUGAUUAUUACUAACCCAAAUACUAGCUAUAGUAAUGAUGGCUAAUGGUACACCUCCAGAUUUCUUCAAAGUAGCUCUCGCUACUUCAUUUUUCAUGCGGACAAUGUUCUCGCUCUAAAAUAUUCUUAUAUAGAGAAUUACUGGAGAGUCUUAUUUUAAAUAUGUUCAGUUCUAUUAAUUAUGUCAUCAUAGGAAGAGUGACAUUAUUUGUAGACACUAAUUUGCGUGUUAUUACGAUUAUCCGACUAGAGAUUGGUUUUUGACACACCAUACUUAAUAAAUCUUCACAUGUUGUUUUGCAUGACGCGUGUUGUUUUUCUUCUCCGAUGAGGCCUGCCCUUCGCUCACAUCUCAAAAGUCCUGAGGAACACGAAGAUCAGCGCACCAGCAGUCAGCAGCUCAAGUUCACCGACCCAGGAAAGAUAUAUAGGAACUAGUAGUAUAUCAUAGGGGCACCAGUGCAAAUCAAAAUAGUGUUUCUGGCUUUUGCUAUCAUGAUGUUGUGAUCAAGAACAAGCUGCGUAUUCCCCAUCCCGAUAUGGUUGAAUGGCUGGAGGGGGCAACUUUGUUUGUAGGUGCCAGUAUUCAUGUGUCCCUUUGCUGAGAGCCUGAGAGCCUGAGCUUGUCAUCUGUCGUCUUGGACAUGAGCUUCAUAGUAUUUUAGGAUACUUCCAUGACGCCAAAUAUCUCCGGUAGUCAAUUUACAUGGCUUUGCUUCCUCCUCUCCUUUUACAUGUUGCUGCUGUAGAUGUGCUCUUCAGUGACGCCAAAUAUCUCCGGAAGUCAAUUUACAUGGCUUUGCUUCCUCCUCUCCUUUUACAUGUUGCUGCUGUACAUGUGCUUGCAUAUUUGGUUCAAUGUCUUACCCUUUUUCCAUGACCAAUUGCACGUGCUUACAAAG